UACGGAGGGUGCAAGCGUUAUCCGGAUUUACUGGGUUUAAAGGGUGCGUAGGUGGGUAGGAAAGUCAGUGGUGAAAUCUUCGGGCUUAACCCGGAAACUGCCUUGAUACUAUUUAUCUUGAAUACUUUGGAGGUAAGCGGAAUAUGUCAUGUAGCGGUGAAAUGCUUAGAUAUGACAUAGAACACCAAUUGCGAAGGCAGCUUACUACA
rnacentral:rRNA from 1 species